rnacentral:rRNA from 1 species
UGGGGAAUAUUGGACAAUGGGCGAAAGCCUGAUCCAGCCAUGCCGCGUGUGUGAAGAAGGUCUUCGGAUUGUAAAGCACUUUAAGUUGGGAGGAAGGGCAGUUACCUAAUACGUAUCUGUUUUGACGUUACCGACAGAAUAAGCACCGGCUAACUCUGUGCCAGCAGCCGCGGUAAUACAGAGGGUGCAAGCGUUAAUCGGAAUUACUGGGCGUAAAGCGCGCGUAGGUGGUUUGUUAAGUUGGAUGUGAAAUCCCCGGGCUCAACCUGGGAACUGCAUUCAAAACUGACAAGCUAGAGUAUGGUAGAGGGUGGUGGAAUUUCCUGUGUAGCGGUGAAAUGCGUAGAUAUCAGCAGGAAUACCAGAGGCGAAGGCGGCGACCUGGCCAAACACUGACACUGAGGAACGAAAGCGUGGGGAGCAAACAGGAUUAGAUACCCCGGUAGUCCCUGAGCGGGCUGGCAAGGCGCAU